CAAAUUUUAGCUUAAAAAGUAUUUCAUUUACAUUGAAAAGUUAUAAAGAAUAAUUUCUUUAAAUUUGA
rnacentral:tRNA from 1 species